rnacentral:tRNA from 1 species
GAUGGCUCAGUGGUAGAGUGCUUGCCUUGCAUGCAUAAGGCCCUGGGUUCAAUUCCUCAGCAUCA